rnacentral:misc_RNA from 1 species
GAUGAAGAACGUAGCGAAAUGCGAUAAGUAAUGUGAAUUGCAGAAUUCAGUGAAUCAUCGAAUUUUUGAACGCACCUUGCACCCUUUGGCAUUCCGAAGGGUAUGCUCGUUUGAGUGUCAUUGUACUCUCACACUUCUGAUCCUUUGGAUUGGGAGCGGUGGACUUGGGUGUUGCUGCUUUACUGUGGCUCACCUCAAAUGCAUUCGUGCAACUCUUGGUUGGACAUAGUACGGCGUGAUAAGUAUCUUCGCCGGCACCUCGCAAGAGGGUGGCUGAUCAGGAGCUCUGUGCUUUCCAACUGUCUUCAGACAACAACUGACAACUUGACCUCAAAUCGAGUAGGACCACCCGCUGAACUUAAGCAUAUCAAUAAGCGGAGGA